GAUGAACGCUAGCUACAGGCUUAACACAUGCAAGUCGCAGGGUAACAUGAGGAAAGCUUGCUUUCCUUGAUGACGACUGGCGCACGGGUGAGUAACGCGUAUCCAACCUUCCCAUAACUACGGGAUAACCCGUUGAAAGACGGCCUAAUACCGUAUGAUAUCGUUUGCUGACAUCAAAUAACGAUUAAAGGUUUAGCGGUUAUGGAUGGGGAUGCGUCUGAUUAGCUUGUUGGCGGGGUAACGGCCCACCAAGGCGACGAUCAGUAGGGGUUCUGAGAGGAAGGUCCCCCACAUUGGAACUGAGACACGGUCCAAACUCCUACGGGAGGCAGCAGUGAGGAAGAUUGGUCAAUGGGCGAGAGCCUGAACCAGCCAAGUAGCGUGCAGGACGACGGCCCUAUGGGUUGUAAACUGCUUUUAUGUGGGGAUAAAGUGCGUGACGUGUCAUGCAUUGCAGGUACCAAAUGAAUAAGGACCGGCUAAUUCCGUG
rnacentral:rRNA from 1 species